AUAUCAGAAAUUCUUCCUCUAUAAUAUUGUGAGUAUAAUAUUUUGAGUAUAUUCUUUUGAGGCUAAGGAUACUCUGAGUCAAAAUUUCACAAGUUAAUCUCUGAUUUAUCAAGUCAAAUCUAGUUUACUAACUAAGGUAAAGGAUGUUAUUUUCUAUUAAUACUCGUAAGGAAUAUCAUUUCUUUCAUAAUUCAUAUUAUGUAAGUGAUAUUAUUUCAUUUCAUAUUCCUAAAUUUAAACUCACUAUGGUAAGUAUUGCUUCUAUAAUUCCUGAAAUGAUUAAAAAUUCCUUGAUGUUUGCGCUUCAUCUAAUAUCAUUUCACUGAAAUAUUGGUCUGAACUUUCUUAUUAAGUUUUAAUCUUUUCAUUUCGGGAUACUAUUCAUCUGUGGUACUAUUCAUACCAAAGUACUUUCAUCCAGGGUACUAUCCAUGUCGGGGUACUAUUCAAGCCAGAGUACUAUUCAUCCGGGGUACUAUUCAUGCCAGAGUACUAUUCACGACAAAAUUUAAUUUUUUUUCUUUGUCCAAAUUAUCCUUGAAAUAUGAAUCUUAAACAUUAUUUUUGAAUUUUACUCCACAAUUGGUGAUCAUGUUGACAAUUUGGACAUUCUUGAACUCUAGAAAAACUUAAAUUACAAAUCUCUAAUAUUUAUCCUUGAUCUCACUUAAUUCAUUCUUUAUAUCAUUGUCAUCAUUCUCAUGCUUAUAUUGUGGUGAAAGUCAUCUUUGACCCGUAUUGCAAAGAUGAAUUAUUGAUUGGUAUGAUUAUGACCAGGAAUUGUGUAUUGGUAUAAUCAAGACCUUUAAUUUUAAAGAUAAAGAUUUUUGGGGAAUGUCCUUUAUGGCCUGUAGUGCAUAGAUGGAUAGAUGUUUGGCAUGAUCAUGACCACUAGUGAUACAAAUGAAUAUCUUUGGCCCGUAGUACAUAGAUAAUUUGUUGAUUUGAAAUAUUUAUUGAUUGGUGUUACAGAGAUAAAUACAGAUGAUGGACUUUUAAAUCAUAGAAGACAAUAGACAUCAUGCUCUACUUGACCCUUCUAAUGGAUUGUUUGUGUCGCUACAGUUGUUGAUCUAAAACUUGUUGUCCAUUAUAUUUUAUCUAAUUUAUCAUUGUUGAAGGCUAAAGAUAAUUAAUUUCUCAUUAUCUUAGUCAUAAUAUUCUUUACUAGGCUAGUUGAGCUCACCCUUUUUUUUUGUUCUAUUGUUCUUCUCAGGAAAUGAAAGUGUAGCUGGGACUAGUCGGAGAGUGGAAUAAUGGUCCGAGAUAGUUACUAUAGAAGUCUUCACUAUGUUGUGUAAUAGUAUGAUAAUAACUGUAAUGAAGACUUAAUUUGAGUUUGGAUAUUUUUCGUAUUAUGUACGAUGCAAUAUUUGUAUUCAAACUCAUAGUAUGUGUGGUCGUAUUUCGAACGACAGUUUAAUAGUUGUAAAUAGGGAUGUUUGUAUUGGAAUUUUGUAGUAUAUAUUUAGCGACUCAAAAUGGGUUGUAUAGACCUAUUUUUGGGGGCGUCACACAAUAGGUAAGUGACAAGCUUUUCCAAACACAAGCCUAUAUGGUGACAUUCCUAAAUUAUUCUAAAAGGUAGUACGGUAUGCCCAUAAUGCAUACCGUACCAGUCUUUUCUGUUAGAACUCACUAUUUUUUCCAAGAUUUGUUUUAUUUGCCUAUUCGGGACUUCUACCUGACCACUUGUUUGAGGAUGAUAUGGUGUUGUAAGGUUGUGGGUGAUGGAAUAAUUUUUCAACAAGGAUACAAAAGACUGAUUACGAAAAUGUUUUCCUUGAUCACUGAUUAUGGCCCUAGGUGUGACACCCCGAAUUUUAUGAAAUAAAAG
rnacentral:lncRNA from 1 species